UGGUCAAGUUAUUAAGGGCGCAGGGCGGAUGCCUUGGCACUAAGAGCCGAUGAAGGACGUGAUAAGCUGCGAUAAGCUUCGGGGAGUUGCACGUAAACUUUGAUCCGAAGAUUUCCGAAUGAGGAAACUCACUUAGAGUA
rnacentral:rRNA from 1 species